rnacentral:rRNA from 1 species
GACGAACGCUGGCGGCGUGCUUAACACAUGCAAGUCGAACGGAAAGGCCCUGCUUUUGUGGGGUUCUCGAGUGGCGAACGGGUGAGUAACACGUGAGUAACCUGCCCUUGACUUUGGGAUAACUUCAGGAAACUGGGGCUAAUACCGGAUAGGAGCUCCUGCUGCAUGGUGGGGGUUGGAAAGUUUCGGCGGUUGGGGAUGGACUCGCGGCUUAUCAGCUUGUUGGUGGGGUAGUGGCUUACCAAGGCUUUGACGGGUAGCCGGCCUGAGAGGGUGACCGGCCACAUUGGGACUGAGAUACGGCCCAGACUGCUACGGGAGGCAGCAGUGGGGAAUAUUGCACAAUGGGCGGAAGCCUGAUGCAGCAACGCCGCGUGCGGGAUGACGGCCUUCGGGUUGUAAACCGCUUUCGCCUGUGACGAAGCGUGAGUGACGGUAAUGGGUAAAGAAGCACCGGCUAACUACGUG